UGAACCUACGCAAGACAGGUAAACAAUACUAGGCAGAGGAAGCGAGCUUGUCAUCAACCCUUGCUGUGCGUGAGAGUCUCUUCUCUGUCACCACCCAACACUGACAUCACUGUAGGGGCACUGUCCUCUCUGCUCGCUAUACAAGUGUUUACGGAGCACCAGAAACUUCAAAACCACACUGGAAGAAACAGCAUUGAGAAACAAAUCCCUGUUCUCAAGGAACUUCCAACAGGAAGAAGCAAGCCAAAGAGGGCGGAAGGAAACUGGCGGGGGAGGUGGCAGCUAUUCUGCACAGGGCUUUCAGGACAGCCAGGGUGCAGGGCGGCGGUGUCUAAGCUGGAACCUGAAAGCCUGAGGAAUGAUUAUAUGGGAGCUGGGGACAGGGCUCCACACAGGGAAGAGUAACUGCCAAAGCCAGCAAUAGCAGACACCAGGAGGCUCUGGUCAGGGCACGGGGAAGAGACUGGGGGUGGGGCAGACACUGACAGGCCAGAGGUGAUGGCGGCCUGGCUCAGGCGGGCAGCUGCGUGCGGGAUUGGUGAGACGUGGACGGGCUCUGGACGUGAUUUGCUGAAGGCCAGAUGCUAUGACAGACAAAGAGAGGAGUGGUAGGUAUGCAUGACGUGAAUCAAUGAGAGGAAGAGCAGACCAUGCAGAAGAGGCCCCACGGCUCCAGCACGAGAGGCCCCAGUGGGAGAGACAGAGACAGGCCAGUCCUUGCUGGGACUGAGGAAAGCGCUCCUCCAGUGACUCUGCAUCACUGCUUCUUAUACAACUCACUCCACUUACAGUGAUCUUUCUAGAGAAGACAGCAGAUCGGGGCCCACCCAGAGAGAGGGGCCUAUAUCUCCUCCCGGUAGCCCCCCACAGGCCCCAGCCCGCUGAGCAGCAGGAACAAGGAGAGGCCGUGGGAGCAGAGGCGGGGUGGGGCUGGCCCUCACCUGAAGUGGUCCACCUGGUUGAGCACGUAGAUGCGGUGCCGGAUCUUCUUCUUGCUCAGGAAGCGGUGCAUGUGGGGCACAAAGACCAGCAGCUCCUCAAAGCGCUCCCGGAAGGGCACCAGCACCGCCAGGCGGUGAGGCCCCCAGGAUGCAUCUUCCUCCCAGUGCUCAGGGGGUGGCUCUGGAGGGCAAGCCCGAGGUGGGCCCGAGGUCUCCUGCCCUUGUCCCCUGGUCACCUGGGCCAUAUCUCCAGAGCAGCUGAGCUGCAGCCAGAGCAGGGAGAAGAAGACCAACAGAAGAAAGGCAAUGAAGAGGUGGAAGAUGGAGCACUUCCGGCGCAGGCCUCCGGGAAGCAACCUGGCCCUGGGAGAAGAGCAAGAAGGAGGUCAGGACAGGCCAGCUGAGACCUUCCAAGACCAUUCCUCUGGCCUCUUCCUCUAGAUCCAAACACUGGCCUUCCCUGAAUACCUGGGGAUUAGUGCAGAAGCAAUGUUUAAUGUUUUUGCUCAUGCUACUACCAUACACAAUCAGCCCAUCCAUCUCUGUAGGUCCAGCCUGUGCUACCCCCGGGACACUCUCAGACCACUCAACUCUGAAGGUCCAGCCUGUGCUACCCCCGGGACACUGUCAGACCACUCAACUCUGAAGGUCCAGCCUGUGCUACCCCCGGGACACUCUCAGACCACUCAACUCUGUAGGUCCAGCCUGUGCUACCCCUAGGGCACUCUCAGACCACUUAUAGCUGACAGGGCUACCCCAGUUCCUCAGUAUUUUUUUCUCAUUCUGAGGAACUCCUCAUCAGAGUGCUCAGGGAGAAGGGCAGGCUUAUUGUGUCAUUUGCUUCCCCCUAGGACAGUGUCUUGAGGUCCUUAGCCAAUGGCAGGGGUUCCAGUUUGGAAAGAUAUAAACCACUGAUUUCUAAACUCCCUCCCUAGCAAAUUCAUCCCAGAGAAAAUGUAAUUUUGUAGUGCUGCAAGGGUGCCCAGAAAGCUCCCCGAGGGGUGUAUGCUGACAUAAGCCCCGGGCAAAAUGGCCAACAGUUAGUCUAGGAAGUUCUCAGUGUAAGGGCCAAAGGGACAGUGUCAGAUCACUGGGUAGGUCACAAGACAAGGGAUAAAGGAAGGCAGAAAGGACAGAGCUGGGUUCAGCACCUAUAGGGUUCAGCACCUAUAUCCUGCAUGUAAGAAACUGGACAAACAGCUAAAUAUCCCAGACACAGGGGUGAUGCUGAGAAACUGUCCUUUGGUUUAACAAUUACAACAAAACAGGUGGAAAGCCUUGCCUUUCGUGGUGGCCAUGGUGGAUUUCCAGCUCAAGGCCAAGCUGGGCUCCACAGUGACACUGUCUCAAAAACAGACGAAACAAAGAAGCAAAAAGAACCAGUGGAACUCUAUGCCCUCCUGGAGGUUCCUGAGGGUGCCAGGAAAGGGUCUGAGAAACCUAAGAAGGAAGUUCCCUCUAUGGUUGCUCCUGCCUCCCUGCCUAAGCAAUCAGUAAAGAAAUCGACUUUAUAGCCUCA